CUCCAGCCAGGGCUGAGUGGCAGUGUGGGCACCGCGGCCUGGGAAGGCAGCCUGGGCUCAGAGUCAGGCUUGUGGCUUCGCCUCUCAGCCUGCGUCUCCUCCCCUGUGGGAUGGGGGACUCCGUGGCACCCCCAUGAUGGACAGGAUGCCAUGGGCCUCAGCCCAGGGCAGACCUCAGUGUCCUUCCUGUGGCCGCUGCUGGAGGCGCAUGACCACAACACAGGGAGGGGACUCGUCCCCGUCAUUGUGCUGACGCCUGAGUCUCCAGAGACCCACCUCGAACUCCGCCAGGCCUUCCUGGGUUCCGGACAGGCCCGCCACGGGCGUGACGCAGUGCCACCUAGCGGACAGCAGGGCUGCAGCGUGGACAGAAUGGCCGGACGCCCAGUCCUGGGCUGGUGGCUGAGGGAGCAGCCUCACAGGGCAAGAGGGCAUGCAACACCUGCAUCUUUCUGGCAUAAGAACCUCAAGAAAAGCAAAGGAAUAUAAUGCUGUGUUCUUUGGAGCCUCCGAAAGCUCUGUUCACAUGGCAGUCGCUGAAAGUUUAAGGGAGCCACCGCCCAAUGGGGGUUGGUUUCUUUCUUCCCUGUUUUUAAAGAUCUUUUAAAAUGUCUAGAGACACCCUGGGAUCCAGCGCUGGACGGAUGACGCAGGGCCACACAGAGAGGCUAUUGUGUGUCACUUGCUGGAUUAGGAACAGACGGAUCCGGGCUUCUAUGCUGCCUCUGCCUGGUCCUGGGAGACAGAAGCUCGCACAACCAUCUCUCUGGAAGACCUGGGCUUCUCAGACCAGAGGGUCUGCCUGUGUAGGUGUGUGUGCCUGCAUACAUAUGCCUGGGUGUGCACGUCUGUGCUUCACACAAACAAGUGUACAUGUGGGCAUAUGUGUGUGUGUGCCUGCAUGUGCAGCUCUGGGUAUGUGUGUGUGCAUGCAUACAUAUGCAUACGUGUGCAUUUUGUGUGUGCACACGCGCCUGAGUCUCUCUGCAUGUGAUGCAUUUGUGCAUGUGUGUGCCGUGUGCCCGGGUCUGUGUCUAUGUAUAUGCAUGUGUGAAUAUGCAUACGUAUGUGCAUUUGUACACAUGUGUGCGUGUGCCUGUAUGUGCCUGGCCAUGUGCACACACAUGUGAAUGUCUGAACAGCUCCAGAGGGAGGGCCACCACCCUGCAUGGUGGACGUUGGUUUGAGCCUGUGAGGACCACAGCGUCCCCAAAAGCCCCUCAACUACAGCCCAGCCCAACCCAACCCGGAGCAGAUCACAGACCCCAGAGAUGUCUCCAACCCUCACACAUGGCUCCCAAACCCGGGCUAUCCUUCACUCUGCAGGGGCGGGCCAGCCCUGCCCACUGCCAGGGACCCGCUCCAAGGCGCCUGCAGGAGGGCCGUGGGCGACAGUGUGGGCGCCCAGCAGCAGGAGGGCCUGUCCUGGUCUGCGCAUGAAGCUGGUGCGCUGUCUUCUCCAGGAAUUCGCACCUCCGCUCCCCCUCCCCUGCCAGCCAACACCUCCCUCUCAACAGGACCCUUCCUACUGGCUUCUAAACACUUUCAGGUUUCUGCCAUAAAAGAGAAAAAAAUCUCCCUCCCUCUCUACCCGCUCCGCGCCUGCUCUUUCUCCACUUUUUGCACAUCAAACAGCGUGCGUGGAGUCGAGCCUGCUGGCUCUGUUCCGAGCUGCACUUUGGGCAUCUGUGGGCUGCCUUGCUCCUUGUGGGGUGGCUUCAAGAGCAGGCCCCAGGGGUGCCUGCAGCAGUGCCGACACCCCUGAGAACACAGGGCACCCCAGCUUUCGGCGCCAAGCACACAGCCAGCAACUGGGCUUGGAAGCUUCCCUGAGAUCGACGCUGCCUGGAAAUGGACUUUGCUGCCUGCAUUCAGGCCAGGGGCCGUGUUUGCUCCCCCAUUACAAGUUGGCCUCAUAUUAACAUGUCUGAGGACUAAGGCUGGUAUUCUAGAACACGCCUUUCACUGAUUGUGUUAAAUAAAAGAGAAAGAUGAAAAAA
rnacentral:lncRNA from 1 species